GAUUUGUUGUGCAUACGGAUGGGUGGACUUCAUGCUUUGAGGAUAAACGAGCAGUGAAGCUAAACCUGGAGCAGACUGACGGAGGACUUCGCGGUGCAUGAGGCUAACUAAAUGAAAUUCCGACAGGCCUCCCCAUGAAGUGACAGUGCAGAGGAUCGGGACAUCACUGUAACCAGGAACACAGAAGUGGCUUGAUGAAUACUAUACCUGCUGAAGUGCUGCUGUGAUCAGGGUGGAAUGCAAAGCCAUGUAAAAUAAAUUAUGGUUGCACAUGAUGUCUGACUGAUUCGUGCGAUGGUCAGCUAAGCUCACAUUCAUCUUUCACUGCAUCGUCAGGUGUUCCUAUGAUCUAAAUGUAUACAUCUACAUUCAUAAGCAUGUACGAGGGUCUUGCUGUUUACCUGGGAGUGUGUAAUGCUGGGUAGGCUGUGUACUGAACUCCGUGUAUACCUUAUUUUCUACCACUUCAGCUUAAAGAGUGCAUGAUUAGUUUCUUGAUUUGAGACUUGGAACCGUAAUCACAUUUAUUUCUUAGCCCUUCUCUGCCGCUGACCAACUUCCAAAAAUGGUAACGCUCUGGUCAUUUUGUUGCCUUACAUUAUUCCCAUUGCGGUAAUGAAAAGCAGAAUGCUGAUAUUCCAGAUGAUGAUUUAUCUGAAGCUGCUUUUCAUACUGGCACAAAAUGAUUCGGGGCACUUUUCUAUACAAAGAGCUGCUUAGAAAUUAGUAAUAAUCGUAACUUAAAGCGAGAGCAAUCUCAAAGUGGGAUGUGAUGAGGCAUUCACAAUAUCUCCUUGAUAAUUGCAAGUCAGCAGUGCUUUCUUUUUCCUGUCAAGUGUGGGUGCCAUUGAGUUUAACUUUGCUCAAGAGCAUUCAUCAACAACACAGAGAAGGAACUGAAUGUACAGGGUUUUCUACCAUUGCUGACUCCGGUAAUUGACAGUGUUCCUACAAAUUAAGUCAGC